rnacentral:rRNA from 1 species
AUACGGAGGGUGCAAGCGUUACUCGGAAUCACUGGGCGUAAAGCGCGCGCAGGCGGGCUGAUAAGUUGGAUGUGAAAGCCUACGGCUCAACCGUAGAACUGCAUCCAAAACUGUCAGUCUAGGGUCUGGGAGGGGAAGAUGGAAUUAGUUGUGUAGGGGUAAAAUCCGUAGAGAUAACUAGGAAUACCAAAAGCGAAGGCGAUCUUCUGGAACAGUACUGACGCUGAGGCGCGAAAGCGUGGGGAGCAAACAGGAUUAGAAACCCUUGUAGUCC